AGAGUUUGAUCAUGGCUCAGAUUGAACGCUGGCGGCAGGCCUAACACAUGCAAGUCGAGCGGUAGAGAGAAGCUUGCUUCUCUUGAGAGCGGCGGACGGGUGAGUAAUACCUAGGAAUCUGCCUGAUAGUGGGGGAUAACGUUCGGAAACGGACGCUAAUACCGCAUACGUCCUACGGGAGAAAGCAGGGGACCUUCGGGCCUUGCGCUAUCAGAUGAGCCUAGGUCGGAUUAGCUAGUUGGUGAGGUAAUGGCUCACCAAGGCUACGAUCCGUAACUGGUCUGAGAGGAUGAUCAGUCACACUGGAACUGAGACACGGUCCAGACUCCUACGGGAGGCAGCAGUGGGGAAUAUUGGACAAUGGGCGAAAGCCUGAUCCAGCCAUGCCGCGUGCGUGAAGAAGGUCUUCGGAUUGUAAAGCACUUUAAGUUGGGAGGAAGGGCAGUUACCUAAUACGUGAUUGUCUUGACGUUACCGACAGAAUAAGCACCGGCUAACUCUGUGCCAGCAGCCGCGGUAAUACAGAGGGUGCAAGCGUUAAUCGGAAUUACUGGGCGUAAAGCGCGCGUAGGUGGUUUGUUAAGUUGAAUGUGAAAUCCCCGGGCUCAACCUGGGAACUGCAUCCAAAACUGGCAAGCUAGAGUAUGGUAGAGGGUAGUGGAAUUUCCUGGUGUAGCGGUGAAAUGCGUAGAAAUAGGAAGGAACACCAGGUGGCGAAUGCGACUACCUGGACUGAUACUGACACUGAGUGCGAAAGCGUGGGGAGCAAACAGGAUUAGAUACCCUGGUAGUCCACGCGUAACGAUGUCACUAGCCCCGUUUGGGGAGUCUG
rnacentral:rRNA from 1 species